AUUGAACGCUGGCGGCAUGCCUUACACAUGCAAGUCGAACGGCAGCACGGGUGCUUGCACCUGGUGGCGAGUGGCGAACGGGUGAGUAAUACAUCGGAACAUGUCCUGUAGUGGGGGAUAGCCCGGCGAAAGCCGGAUUAAUACCGCAUACGAUCUACGGAUGAAAGCGGGGGACCUUCGGGCCUCGCGCUAUAGGGUUGGCCGAUGGCUGAUUAGCUAGUUGGUGGGGUAAAGGCCUACCAAGGCGACGAUCAGUAGCUGGUCUGAGAGGACGACCAGCCACACUGGGACUGAGACACGGUCCAGACUCCUACGGGAGGCAGCAGUGGGGAAUUUUGGACAAUGGGCGAAAGCCUGAUCCAGCAAUGCCGCGUGUGUGAAGAAGGCCUUCGGGUUGUAAAGCACUUUUGUCCGGAAAGAAAUCCUUGGCUCUAAUACAGUCGGGGGAUGACGGUACCGGAAGAAUAAGCACCGGCUAACUACGUG
rnacentral:rRNA from 1 species